GUGACUGCGUACCUUUUGUAUAAUGGGUCAGCGACUUAUAUUCUGUAGCAAGGUUAACCGAAUAGGGGAGCCGAAGGGAAACCGAGUCUUAACUGGGCGUUAAGUUGCAGGGUAUAGACCCGAAACCCGGUGAUCUAGCCAUGGGCAGGUUGAAGGUUGGGUAACACUAACUGGAGGACCGAACCGACUAAUGUUGAAAAAUUAGCGGAUGACUUGUGGCUGGGGGUGAAAGGCCAAUCAAACCGGGAGAUAGCUGGUUCUCCCCGAAAGCUAUUUAGGUAGCGCCUCGUGAACUCAUCUUCGGGGGUAGAGCACUGUUUCGGCUAGGGGGUCAUCCCGACUUACCAACCCGAUGCAAACUACGAAUACCGAAGAAUGUUAUCACGGGAGACACACGGCGGGUGCUAACGUCCGUCGUGAAGAGGGAAACAACCCAGACCGCCAGCUAAGGUCCCAAAGUCAUGGUUAAGUGGGAAACGAUGUGGGAAGGCCCAGACAGCCAGGAUGUUGGCUUAGAAGCAGCCAUCAUUUAAAGAAAGCGUAAUAGCUCACUGGUCGAGUCGGCCUGCGCGGAAGAUGUAACGGGGCUAAACCAUGCACCGAAGCUGCGGCAGCGACGCUUAUGCGUUGUUGGGUAGGGGAGCGUUCUGUAAGCCGUUGAAGGUGGCCUGUGAGGGUUGCUGGAGGUAUCAGAAGUGCGAAUGCUGACAUAAGUAACGAUAAUGCGGGUGAAAAACCCGCACGCCGGAAGACCAAGGGUUCCUGUCCAACGUUAAUCGGGGCAGGGUGAGUCGACCCCUAAGGCGAGGCCGAAAGGCGUAGUCGAUGGGAAACAGGUUAAUAYUCCUGUACUUGGUGUUACUGCGAAGGGGGGACGGAGAAGGCUAUGUUSGCCGKGCGACGGUUGUCCCGGUUUAAGCGUGUAGGUGUGUGUUCCAGGUAAAUCCGGUUCACUUUAACACUGAGGCGUGAUGACGAGGCACUACGGUGCUGAAGYRACAAAUGCCCUGCUUCCAGGAAAAGCCUCUAAGCAUCAGGUAACAUSAAAUCGUACCCCAAACCGACACAGGUGGUCAGGUAGAGAAUACCAAGGCGCUUGAGAGAACUCGGGUGAAGGAACUAGGCAAAAUGGUGCCGUAACUUCGGGAGAAGGCACGCUGAUAUGUAGGUGAAGUGGUUUACCCAUGGAGCUGAAAUCAGUCGAAGAUACCAGCUGGCUGCAACUGUUUAUUAAAAACACAGCACUGUGCAAACACGAAAGUGGACGUAUACGGUGUGACGCCUGCCCGGUGCCGGAAGGUUAAUUGAUGGGGUUAKCSGUAASGMGAAGCUCUUGAUCGAAGCCCCGGUAAACGGCGGCCGUAACUAUAACGGUCCUAAGGUAGCGAAAUUCCUUGUCGGGUAAGUUCCGACCUGCACGAAUGGCGUAAUGAUGGCCASRCUGUCUCCWCCYGAGACUCAGYGAARUUGAASUSGYUGUGAAGAUGCARUSUACCCGCKGCWAGACGGAAAGACCCCGUGAACCUUUACUAUAGCUUGACACUGAACAYUGRKCCUUGAUGUGUAGGAUAGGUGGGAGGCUUUGAAGUGUGGACGCCAGUCUGCAUGGAGCCRKCCUUGAAAUACCACCCUUUAAUGKYUGRUGUUCUAACGUKGGCCCSURAUCSGGGKUGCGGACAGUGUCUGGUGGGURGUUUGACUGGGGCGGUCUCCUCCUAAAGAGUAACGGAGGAGCACGAAGGUYRGCUAAUCCUGGUCGGACAUCAGGAGGUUAGUGCAAUGGCAUAAGCYRGCUUGACUGCGAGCGUGACGGCGCGAGCAGGUGCGAAAGCAGGUCAUAGUGAUCCGGUGGUUCUGAAUGGAAGGGCCAUCGCUCAACGGAUAAAAGGUACUCCGGGGAUAACAGGCUGAUWCCGCCCAAGAGUUCAUAUCGACGGCGGWGUUUGGCACCUCGAUGUCGGCUCAUCACRUCCUGGGGCUGWAGUMGGUCCCAAGGGUAUGGCUGUUCGCCAUUUAAAGUGGUACGCGAGCUGGGUUUAGAACGUCGUGAGACAGUUCGGUCCCUAUCUGCCGUGGGCGCUGGAGAAUUGAGGGGGGCUGCUCCUAGUACGAGAGGACCGGAGUGGACGCAUCACUGGUGUUCGGGUUGUCAUGCCAAUGGCAUU
rnacentral:rRNA from 1 species